UACGUAGGGCGCGAGCGUGUCCGGAAUUAUUGGGCGUAAAGAGCUCGUAGGCGCCUGUUGCGUCCGCUGUGAAAUCCCAGGGCUCAACCCUGGGCGUGCAGUGGAUACGGGCAGGCUGGAGGCAGGCAGGGGAGAACGGAAUUCCCGGUGUAGCGGUGAAAUGCGCAGAUAUCAGGAGAACACCCGUGGCGAAGGCGGCUCCUCUGGAACGC
rnacentral:rRNA from 1 species